rnacentral:tRNA from 1 species
AGUUAUAGGGCUAAACAAGAUAAGCAUGUGUUUUGAAAACACAAAUAAAGGAGUUUAAAUCUCCUAAUAACUU